GGCGGAGUUGGAGAACCAGAGGGAGAGGGAGUAGAGCGCGCCGAUGGGGAUGACGGAUGAGGUGUAGAGCUGCGGCGUCAUGGCGGGCGACGACGGGAGGUCGACGACGCGGAAGACGCGGACGAGGGCGACGGCGAGGGAGGAGCAGAAGGCCAUGUGGACCAUGGUGAGGGAGAUGGGGAAGGGCCAGUUGUACAUCUUGGGGUCGAGGAUGUACUUGUUGUAG
rnacentral:lncRNA from 1 species